GUUAGAUGUGUCAUGAUGGUACUGUGAAUCCACGUCUUGAGUAAAGGUAUCUGCAUUAAGUUGACCACACCUAGUACACUGAUACCGAAGUUGAAAUAUGGUCUGUUCUUUAAAACUGCUU
rnacentral:sRNA from 1 species